UACGUAGGGGGCAAGCGUUGUCCGGAUUUAUUGGGCGUAAAGAGCGUGUAGGCGGUUAGGUAGGUCCGUUGUGAAAACUCGAGGCUCAACCUCGAGACGUCGGCGGAAACCAUCUGGCUAGAGUCCGGAAGAGGAGAGUGGAAUUCCUGGUGUAGCGGUGAAAUGCGCAGAUAUCAGGAAGAACACCCGUGGCGAAGGCGGCUCUCUGGGACGGUACUGACGCUGAGACGCGAAAGCGUGGGGAGCGAACAGG
rnacentral:rRNA from 1 species